GUUUCCUUUCUUUAACUCUUCUAAAAUGGAAUUGGCCCUCCUGACCCUCGCCAAGACGUUGCUGGCCUGCUCCCUGCGGAGGAACACUGGAAGACAGGGAGGACAGCGUGAGAAGCCCCGCCUGGAGUGCAGUGGCACGGCAGCUCACUGCAACCUCUGCCUCCCAGGUUCAAGCCGUUCUUCUGCCUCAGGAGGACAUUAUCCUGCCUCAGCCUCUGAGUAGCUGGAACUGCAGGUUCAUCCUUUCCUCCACUGGAAAAAGACUCGGCCUGUUUGGUCACGGCUGUGUCCCCUGGCACGACCGGAACUUAGCCAAUAUUUGUUAAGGGAAUGGCGGAAAGGCUGCACGCCUGGCUCGGGCCUCUGGACUGAAUCUGGGCACUUCUGAGUCGCGUCAGCGUUUCAGUCACACUGAGCAGGUUGGGCCUUGGCCACAUGGCCGCAUUUUCUGAUGUGAGUAAAGUGGGAUUGGCAAAACGAAAUUAAAAUGUAACAAGGUUUUUAGACACUUGUCUCAAGACAUGAAUGGAAUUAAUCCAGAUCAGCAUUCCGGAGUGUCCAUACUAGCACGUGUUUGUGUCCCUGUGGUUUUGUUUCUUGUGUGCAUUUGUUCUUCGGAAGUCGUCAGGAGUGUCCCAAUCUUUGAACACACAGUUGCGUUUGCUGUGGCAACAUCAGCGACUUCCACGGUCAGCAGCUGCAUUCGAACAGGUUUUACCAGCAAGCAAAAGUUUCAGCUGUAAGGUCAAAACUCAUGAAGAGUGGAUUUCACUUGCUGAAUGUAAGGACGGAACUGAAGUCACGUAGCGUUAGCAAUCGCCAGUCAACAGCAGCCGUUUAGAGGCUGGCGCUGCAGGUGCUGUGCAUGUUCUGAUUUUAUUAAAAUAAAAAGUUGGAUUGCAAAAGCACUUACAGGUGUCAGGACAGGGCUGAAUAAUGUCCCUCCAAAUUCAUGUCUUUCUCAGAACCUCAGAACAUGACCUUAAUUGGAAAUAGAAGUUUUGUGAUGUAUUUGGUUGGGAAGACAUUUUACAGGAGUAGGGGGAGCCCUAAAUCCAAUGACUGGUGUGCUUCCAAGAGGAAAGAAGACCCACAGAAAAACAGCCGUGAUGAGAAUGCCACGUGGCGAUGGAGGCAGUGGUGACAGUGAUGCACCCACAAGCCACAGCUCCAAGGCGCUGCCACCCGACGCCAGAAGACAGGCCCACAGCAGACCCUCCCCCAGGCUAUGGACGAACCAGCCCCACUGACACCUUGAUUUUGAACUUCCAGCCUCCAGAGCUGUGGGAAAAAUGUUUCUGUGGCUUUAAGCUACUUGGUCCAUGGUCCUUUCUCAUGGCAGCCCCAGCCAAGUAGCGCUGAGGCCCCACCACCCCAGAAGAGCUUCGUGACUGCCAGGACAGCCACGUUCGUUUCAAGGCUAGACUGCAGGUGCUAUGUGU